AGCUGACAGAGCGAGAGUCCAUCUGAAAACAAACAAACAAAAACCCACACACACAAAACUAACCCAAGGAUGCUUUAACCAGAGGCAAAGCUCCAACCUGGACCCACGCAGCUCACAGUAGCUCCUGCUCAGGCUACACACAGGCCUGCAAUCCACAGAUAAACACAGCUGGAGAGAAAAAGCGGCCGGGAAUGCAGCUGGGCUGUUUUCUCAAGAGAAGCCCAAGUGGAUCCCUGGCCACACACCUGGAUGAUCUUCUCCGGGAUGUUGGAGACAGUGAAGCCGUAGAGCCGCACACGCUCUGGGAAGAUGCUGGACAGGAUCCUGCGGUCCAGCUGGAAGGCGAUCUCACCCACCAGCCUCUCCCAGGCCAGCUGCUUCGACUCUGGGGACACAGGGUCUCGUCAGCCCAGGAGCCUGCUUUCCUUGGUCCUGGAGGAGUGCUCCUUUUACUGGCCACUGUUUGGGGGAGAAGCCCCCUGAUCCCCUGGGGGUGCAGCUGCUGGCAGGAGUGGUGGGAGUGCAGAGAAGGUUUUUAAUUGUGAGUUGAAAAUCUUAGGCUCCAGUACAAGCACCUUGAAAAGAACUUGAAGAGAACAUUGAAGAGGACUUCAGAUUCACUGCAUUUAUAUGAUUAUUUAAUUAUUUAGGUCUCUCAGCAAGGUUUGUUACAUCAAACAAUUGAAGUUAAAAAGAAAAGCAAAAGCUAGACCCCUGGCCUCAUGACUGUAAUCCCAGCACGUUGAGAGGUCAAGAUGGGAGGAUCACUUAAGCCAAGGGGAGGAUUGUGAGGGGAGAAGGUCCCGAAGGAAGAGAGUCCUGAAGGGAGAGGGUGCUAAGGGGAGAGGGCCCUGAGGGGAAAGGGUCCUGAGGUGAAAUGAUCCUGAGAGGAGAGGGUCCUCAGGGAAAAGAAUCCUCAAAGAAGAGGGUCCUGAGGGAAGAGGUUCCUCAGG